CUGGAGCGCCAUCCUACUGGGGCACCCUGAGGACACCAUAGAAGAUGUGAUUAUGAAAAGCUACUGAGGAGUGGUGGCGCUUCAGCAAGGUCACAGAAAGAUGGAGAUGCUGACGAAGGAGUGCCGACCUUGGCCGGAACGACUGACUGUAAGACUGAAACAGAUGGAAAAGAGCAUCCAGUUGUCACAGGAGACCAGGAUCCCUAGGGAGAGGAAGUUCAUGAAUACCGGGGAAGGGAGGAACAGGGACUACAACUAAAAAGACAAAUAAUCCGA